GAGGACUCAUGCGACGACGGGUAGCCGGCCUGAGAGGGUGAACGGCCACAUUGGGACUGAGAUACGGCCCAGACUCCUACGGGAGGCAGCAGUGGGGAAUAUUGCACAAUGGGCGCAAGCCUGAUGCAGCGACGCCGCGUGGGGGAUGACGGCCUUCGGGUUGUAAACUCCUUUCGCUAGGGACGAAGCUUUUUUGACGGUACCUGAAAAAAAAGCACCGGCUAACUACCUGCCCCCAGCCGCCGG
rnacentral:rRNA from 1 species